rnacentral:lncRNA from 1 species
AUGUUAACAAGAAAUUUCUCUGUCAUGCCUUUUUCAGAAUCUCAACCCAAAGUAGACCACGUGGACGACAACUUUGCAACUUGCCUUCUCAAGCUCUUAGUGAUGGUUCUUAUUUUUUAUGUAUUCCGGGAGGAAUGUUUUGGAAAUAAGAAAAGAAAAGGAAAUGUCUCUAGCAUCUGCUGGCCUGCUUUCUGUCUCUGUGAAUUUACCUAUCCAGAUCAACUUAAGGAAAAUGAUCAACUUAGGAAGGAAAAUGAUCAACUUGGGGAGGAAAAUGAUCAACUUAGGAAGGAAAAUGAUCAACUUAGGAAGGAAAAUGAUCAACUUGGGGAGGAAAAUGGAAAAUUGCAAAAGGAAAUUGGUAAUGGUAUUCUAAUAGUUAAAAUAUUCUCAAGAGGAUGUCCUCCUCUGAUGAUCCCCUGCUUCCUUUCAUUCUUUCCCCUUAGCUCUUCAUUUUAGGUAUCUUUUGCAUUUCCCCGUUGCCUCUGUAUAUUGCAGCUAUCAUGUUAGGAAUAAUUUUCUGCUUACCUUGAUUAAGUCCUGAAAAUCAUGUGACUCAACUUUAUUUUAUGCAUGAAAAGCAAUUUCCAAAGGGAGCAAUGGCUUGACUAAUGAUAGUAAUGACUACGGUAAAUCCCUCAGAAGAAUGCCUGUCUUUUUUCUGCAUCGUCCUCUCAUUGAGAGUCCAUGUCUUAUGUGUGUAUCUCCUUUCAGAUGAGAGGAAAACUCAAUUUAGGAAUGGUAAGUAAUUUGGAAGUUCUUUCGUGGGAUCAGAUUCCACAAAUAAUAAGCCAUCUAGCCCUUCUCUAAACCUCCUUCCCAGAAAGAGUCAGGCAUGGUAUACCAUGGCAUGUGCUCACUGUGUAGAAGCAUAAAUGGAAGAGAAUCUGUGAAAGUGAGUUAACUCAUUUUCUUUCCUAACUUAGAAUAUCCUUUUAUUGAGACGGGGAAAAAUUUAAUUGUUUAAUGGAUAUUUCCCAAGCGCUCCUUCCUUUGUCUUCACUUCCCUAACCACCCUUUUCUUUCCCUUUUCACUCUUUGUCUCACUCUUGUCAAUUCUUUCUUCCUUCACCUCUGUUCUUUCCAAAUCCUUACCUUUCUCCUUGCUCCUUUCCUCCUUCCCCCCUCACUCCUUCCAUUUUAUCCGUUAUGCUUUCUUUCCAUCUUCAUUUCUCAAACUAUCCACUUUUAUUUCCAUCAUUUCUUUAUUUUCUUUGUUCUUAUUUUUCUUUUUAUUAUUACUUCUCUUGCUUAUAGCUUGAUUUUUCUUUUGACUUUAUACUUUUUCACAUAUAUAUACAAACCCAACAAUUUUAAAGUUAAAGGAAUGGUCACAGUAUUGUGAGGAAGGAAAGGGAUGGAGAGAGAAAUAACUGAAUACUUAGAGAAUACUGGUGAUGAGGAGAGAGGAAAAGAUACACGAAGGACCAGGAAAGGGUAAUCACAUGUUCUCAUGUUG